GGCUCCACCUCUCCUAGACACCAUUUAAGGGCUGACUGCCACUGAAGAAGAAUCUCUUUCUCUAGAGGUUGCUCCUUGUGGAGUUUCCUAUGAGCCUACAAUGCUGCUGGUCUGAAGAGAGGAGAUAAUUAGCGUGGAAAUUGGAACAUUCUCAGGAAGAAGCAGAGGGCAGCAAAGCAAGCAAACAAAAAAAAAAAAGGCAAAAAAACUACCAAAAAGAAAAAAAUUCCACUGCUCACUACUUCAAUUUGCAUUUGAUGUUUUUCUGAGCGCAUCUGAAGCAGCGCUAUCUAGAGUUUAAUUACAGAAAGUAAAAAAGUAAUAAUAAAAAUAUCAACCGUUAUUUUCAUGCUUUCGUAUAAAAUAUUGAAAACUGGAAGCAUGUAGUGGUAUGAAUGCAUAUGUCCACACAGUUUAAAAGAAUCAAGAAAACAUUCUUCUGCUGAAUAUUUCCUACUGUACUACUGGAAAAUCUCCACCAUGGAAACAGCUUCCAUGGCAAGACUGUUAGGCACUGCAGGCAUGCAAGGAAGUCUCAGGAGCACUGUUGUAUUGGAAAUGACAUGUGCCUCUGCCCUCGGGGUAGAAUGCCCAAAGUGAAGUGCAGUGGCAAUUCUCAUCUCUGCA